UGGCGAACGGGUGAGUAACACGUGGGUGAUCUGCCCUGCACUUCGGGAUAAGCUUGGGAAACUGGGUCUAAUACCGGAUAGGACCGCACUUUAGUGUGUGUGGUGGAAAGUUUUUUCGGUGUAGGAUGAGCUCGCGGCCUAUCAGCUUGUUGGUGGGGUAAUGGCCUACCAAGGCGGCGACGGGUAGCCGGCCUGAGAGGGUGUACGGCCACAUUGGGACUGAGAUACGGCCCAG
rnacentral:rRNA from 1 species